ACUAUUAUUGUUGGCAUGAUAUAUAAACACUACUUACACGGUAAAGUGACUUAAUGUUGCUUGGGUAUUUUCUCUUUUUCAGUACCAUCUACAAAUCUGUCUGUAAAUUAAGUGAUGUAUAAUCAGUAUGUUAUGUAUAAUGUUACAACAUCUCAUGAUUUCAGGUAACCUCAUAUGUCUUUAUAUUUUUCUGAGUACUAAUCAGUGAUCUAAAUACAAAGCUUUGCCGAUUCUGUUGAAACAGAACCUUCACAUUGAGUGUUGAUGUGUCUGCAGUACUUACAUCUUGUGAUGUCGACUUGCUCUCUCUCUAUGAUAGUAUUAGACUGAUUUUGUAAGGAGAGAGUUCACAGGUUAAGCAAUUAAAGGAUCACAGAAAAACAUGAAUUCUAUGAAUUCAGGAUUCAAACAUUUACACCCAUAAACUGAAAAUAAAACAAGUUUUUUUAUCUGUUAGCAGCUGUUGGUUGGCUUCAAGAGUUUAUUUAACUUGAUUUGUGUUUUCUGUGACUAUUAUGAAGUAUUUUAGAGGUCUAUACUAGAUUGUAGAUCUUUAAUUUGAAAAAAAAAAGAGUAUUUUGCAUGCUGAAAUUCAAUACUAGUGUUUCUUGUUUAUGAAUAUAAAUUUGAUUGAAUAAAAUAUUUAAGUAUGUAAA
rnacentral:misc_RNA from 1 species